rnacentral:rRNA from 1 species
UGGUCAAGUUAUUAAGGGUGCAGGGCGGAUGCCUUGGCACUAGGAGCCGAUGAAGGACGUGAUAAGCUGCGAUAAGCUUCGGGGAGUUGCACGUAAACUUUGAUCCGAAGAUUUCCGAAUGAGGAAACUCACUUAGAGUAAUGUCUAAGUAUCAUUAAGUGAAUACAUAGCUUAAUGAGGGGAACUCAGGGAACUGAAACAUCUAAGUACCUGAAGGAAGAGAAAGAAAUUCGAUUCCGUAAGUAGCGGCGAGCGAACGCGGAUUAGCCCAAACCAAUAAAGUUUUCUUUAUUGGGGUUGCGGACAUAUCAUAACGAAGAGGUAUCGUAAUUGAAGAGGUUUGGAAAGACCC